GAAUACUGACGCUGAGGUACGAAAGCGUGGGGAGCAAACAGGAUUAGUACCCUGGUAGUCCACGCCGUAAACGAUGAGCACUAGGUGUCGGGGCCGCAAGGUUUCGGGCCGCAGUUAACGCAUUAAGUGCUCCGCCUGGGGAGUACGCACGCAAGUGUGAAACUCAAGGAAUUGACGGGGACCCGCACAAGCAGCGGAGCAUGUGGUUUAAUUCGAAGCAACGCGAAAACCUUACCAGGGCUUGACAUCCUUCUGACCGGAACUUAACCGUUCCUUUCUUCGGACAGAGUGACAGGUGGUGCAUGGUUGUCGUCAGCUCGUGUCGUGAGAUGUUGGGUUAAGUCCCGAACGAGCGCAACCCUUGUCGUUAGUUACUAACAUUCAGUUGAGGACUCUAAUGAGACUGCGUGGAUAACACGGAGGAAGGUGGGGAUGACGUCAAAUCAUCAUGCCCCUUAUGUCCUGGGUACACACGUGCUACAAUGGUCGGUACAAAGAGACGCGAGACAGCGAUGUGGAGCAAAUCUAAAAGCCGAUCCCAGUUCGGAUUGCAGGCUGCAACUCGCCUGCAUGAAGUCGGAGUUGCUGUAAUCGUGGAUCAGAAUGCCACGGUGAAUGCGUUCCCGGGUCUUGUACACACCGCCCGU
rnacentral:rRNA from 2 species